GGCAGCUCGGCUCACACUCAAGUUGAAUUGAAUGCCAAAGCCAGUUCAUCCUUGGCUUGGGGGUUGGUACCCUCCACUCCCCCUGCUUGGGGAUCCCUCACUUCCGCCUGCCUUGGCUUCUGGGGUUCACUUCAUCCUGGGCUGGGGCUGAACCUCAUUCCUGCCAGUGGGGCUCUCUCCUUCUCCCCCAUCCCUCCUUCUUCCAGGGAGAAGUCUGGGAGUCUCUCUUUUCUCUUCCCUCCCGUUAAGCGUCUAUUUAUUCAUGAGACUUCAUAGAUUUUUGCCUUUUCUCUACUUUUUUCUCAGCUUGAAGACACAAGCGGUUGAGCUUGGAGGCCCCAGGGGCCCCUUCCCACCCUCCCCCUGCGGCAGAGCUCAGGCUUCUCUUCUCUUCCCUUCCUUUGUAUCUUCCGCUCUUUCACGCCCUUUCUCAGCAGCACGUGAUGGGAAGAGGGACUUGUUCACCAAUCCUCCCCCCUUGUUUGGGGGUGUUCUGAGGUUAGAACCUUAUUUCUUUCUCUGACCAUCACUUCAGAAAUGAUGGCUUCCGGUGUCCUUUGUCCUCAUCGUCUGCCUGAUGAUCAUUUUUGCCCUUGUGUUUCUCGCUUACUUGCCAUCAGAGGUGACACCGAAUCUCUUUUCCAGAAGUGCCAUGGUGACGUUCCAGCUCACGGAGGAGGCUCAGUGUAGCACCCACACCCAAGACGUAAAAUAAGUCAUGUCCUGGGCAGGACCAUCCUCAUGCCCAACAUGAGAGAGAAGCAACAUGGUGUGACUUCCUCUCCUUCCCCUCUUCUCCCACUCUCCCGCCUUCCUCACCCCUCCUCAAAGGAAAAUUAUGCAGAAGGAGACUGUAGGCAAAGUGAGUCAGCACUGCCGCAGAGGGAGGGAGCCCUGCUCGUGCAGUGACUCGUGGGAGAGGCACAGCCUUGCUGUGGGUCUUAUCAAGGAGGACCCUGAUUCUCACCAACUACCAGUCCAAAGAAGCAACAGGAAACAAGAACAGAGCUGUGGGCGCCAUGCUGUGGUAACAGAAGAAGGCAGUUUCUCUGGAGCCACGCUGCCCUCUGUGGGGCCGAGGCAACCAGCAGAACCACAAGCAAAGAUUCGCCAAUAGGAACUUGCGUGCGGGGCUGCUGUUGGUGAGAUGACGGAAGUUAUAAUGAUGUUGCUAAGCUUUUUUACAAUGUGUGCAAAAUUGGGAAAAAUGAUGGGCACACGUUGGAAAUGUUGUGGAUCUGGUUCCAGUCCAUUGGGAUAAAGUGAAUAUUGAAAUAAAGAGAGUCAAGUGAACUUUUUGCUUUCCUGG
rnacentral:lncRNA from 1 species